GCCUGUAGUACCAGCUACUGGGGAGGCUGAGGCUGGAGGAUCGCUUGAGCCCAGGAGUUCUGGACUGUAGUGCACUAUGCCCACCCGGUGUCCGCACUAAGUUCAGCAUCAAUAUGGUGACCUCCCGGGAGCGGGGGCCUCCAGGUUGCCUAAGGAGGGGUGAACCGGCACAGGUCGGAGACGGAGCAGGUCAAAGCUCCCGUGCUGAUCAGUACUGGGAUCGCGCCUGUGAAUAGCCACUGCACUCCAGCCUGGGCAACAUAGUGAGACCCCAUCACUG
rfam:Myotis lucifugus cont2.13373, whole genome shotgun sequence.